GGACGAACGCUGGCGGCGUGCUUACCCCAUGCAAGUCGAACGGAAAGGCCUCUUUCGGGGGGUACUCGAGUGGCGAACGGGUGAGUAACACGUGAGUAACCUGCCCUUGACUUUGGGAUAACUUCAGGAAACUGGGGCUAAUACCGGAUAGGAGCUCCUGCUGCAUGGUGGGGGUUGGAAAGUUUCGGCGGCUGGGGAUGGACUCGCGGCUUAUCAGCUUGUUGGUGGGGUAGUGGCUUACCAAGGCUUUGACGGGUAGCCGGCCUGAGAGGGUGACCGGCCACAUUGGGACUGAGAUACGGCCCAGACUCCUACGGGAGGCAGCAGUGGGGAAUAUUGCACAAUGGGUGGAAGCCUGAUGCAGCAACGCCGUGUGCGGGAUGACGGCCUUCGGGUUGUAAACCGCUUUCGCUCAUGACGAAGCUUUGUGUGACGGUAGUGGGUAAAGAAGCACCGGCUAACUACGUG
rnacentral:rRNA from 1 species